UGGGGAAUAUUGGACAAUGGGGGGAACCCUGAUCCAGCCAUGCCGCGUGUGUGAAGAAGGCCUUAUGGUUGUAAAGCACUUUAAGCGAGGAGGAGGGUACUGGUAUUAAUACUACCAGGUACUGGACGUUACUCGCAGAAUAAGCACCGGCUAACUCUGUGCCAGCAGCCGCGGUAAUACAGAGGGUGCGAGCGUUAAUCGGAUUUACUGGGCGUAAAGCGUGCGUAGGCGGCUAAUUGAGUCGGAUGUGAAAUCCCCGAGCUUAACUUGGGAAAUGCAUUCGAUACUGGUUAGCUAGAGUGUGGGAGAGGAUGGUAGAAUUCCAGGUGUAGCGGUGAAAUGCGUAGAGAUCUGGAGGAAUACCGAUGGCGAAGGCAGCCAUCUGGCCUAACACUGACGCUGGGGUACGAAAGCAUGGGGAGCAAACAGG
rnacentral:rRNA from 1 species